GGCGAGUGAAGCGGGAAGAGCUCAAAUUUAAAAUCUGGCAGUGUAUUCUGUCCGAGUUGUAGUCUAGAGAAGCAUCAUCCGUGCUGGACCAUGUACAAGUCUCUUGGAACAGAGUAUCAUAGAGGGUGAGAAUCCCGUCCUUGACAUGGACUCCCAGUGCUUUGUGUUGUGCUCUCAACGAGUCGAGUUGUUUGGGAAUGCAGCUCAAAAUGGGUGGUAAAUUCCAUCUAAAGCUAAAUAUUGGCGAGAGACCGAUAGCGAACAAGUACCGUGAGGGAAAGAUGAAAAGCACUUUGGAGAGAGAGUUAAACAGUACGUGAAAUUGUUGAAAUGGAAACGCUUGAAGUCAGUCGCGUUCUCUGGGACUCAGCCUUGCUUUUGCUUGGUGCAUUUCCUAGUCUACGGGCCAGCAUGGAUUUUGACCGGCGGAAAAGGGCUUGGGGAAUGUGGCACCUCCGGGUGUGUUAUAGCCCCUUGUCGUACACGUCGAUUGGGAUCGAGGAAUUUCAGUGCACGCUUCGGUUGUGCUUUGAUGCUGGCGUAAUGGCUUUAAGCGACCCGUCUUGAAACACGGACCAAGGAGUCUAACAUGUCUGCGAGUGUUUGGGUGAAAAACCCGAGCGCAUAAUGAAAGUGAUAGUUGGGAACCUCUUUAGAGGGGCACCGACGCCCGGACCAGACCUUCUGUGACGGAUCCGAGGUAGAGCAUAUAUGUUGGGACCCGAAAGAUGGUGAACUAUGCCUGCAUAGGGUGAAGCCAGAGGAAACUCUGGUGGAGGCUCGUAGCGAUUCUGACGUGCAAAUCGAUCGUC
rnacentral:rRNA from 1 species